GAUGAACGCUGGCGGCGUGCCUAAUACAUGCAAGUCGAGCGAACAGACGAGGAGCUUGCUCCUCUGACGUUAUCGUCUUACUUUUUAGUAACACGUUUAUAACCUACCUAUACUACUGGGAUAACUUCGGGAAACCGUAUCUAAUACCGGAUAAUAUAUUGAACCGCAUGGUUCAAUAGUGAACGACGGUUUUGCUGUCACUUAUAGAUGGCUCCGCGCCGCAUUAGCUAGUUGGUAAGGUAACGGCUUACCAAGGCAACGAUGCGUAGCCGACCUGAGAGGGUGAUCGGCCACACUGGAACUGAGACACGGUCCAGACUCCUACGGGAGGCAGCAGUAGGGAAUCUUCCGCAAUGGGCGAAAGCCUGACGGAGCAACGCCGCGUGAGUGAUGAAGGUCUUCGGAUCGUAAAACUCUGUUAUUAGGGAAGAACAAAUGUGUAAGUAACUAUGCACGGCUUGACGGUACCUAAUCAGAAAGCCACGGCUAACUACGUG
rnacentral:rRNA from 1 species